UUGUGUUGUGUGUGUGUGAGUGUGUGUGGUCAACUCCGCUUCAGGUCUAAGCAAGAGCUGCAAUGCUGACACUCUACAUCCUCUGCCUGGUCGCAUGUCUUGCUGAGGCCUUGCCUGGCUCCUGUAGUUUUGGCAAAAACCUCUGUGGGUUCCAUGAAGACUCCACCCACUCCAGCUGGAUACUUAACCAGAAGGGUGGGUAUGUGGCUCUGGAGGCCGAGGGUUCUGCGGG